GACGAACGCUGGCGGCGGGCUUAACACAUGCAAGUCGAACGGCAAGGCCCUGCUUUUUUGGGGUGCUCGAGUGGCGAACGGGUGAGUAACACGUGAGUAACCUGCCCUUUACUGUGGAAUAACUUCAGGAAACUGGGGCUAAUACCGGAUAGGAGCUCCGGCUGCAUGGUGUGGGUUGGAAAGGUUCGGCGGUUGGGGAUGGACUCGCGGCUCAUUAGCUUGUUGGGUGGGGUGUGGCUUACCAAGGAUUUGGAGGGUAGCCGGCCUGAGAGGGUGACCGGCCACAUUGGGACUGAGAUACGGCCCAGACUCCUACGGGAGGCAGCGGUGGGGAAUAUUGCACAAUGGGCGGAAGCCUGAUGCAGCAACGCCGCGUGAGGGAUGAUGGCCUUCGGGUUGUAGACCGCUUUCGCCUGUGACGAAGCGUGAGUGACGGUAAUGGGUAAAGAAGCACCGGCUAACUACGUG
rnacentral:rRNA from 1 species